GUGGGGAAUCUUCCGCAAUGGACGAAAGUCUGACGGAGCAACGCCGCGUGAGUGAAGAAGGUUUUCGGAUCGUAAAGCUCUUUCGUUAGGGACGAACGUGCUCUUUGUGAAUAAUGAGGAGUAAUGACGGUACCUAAAUAAGAAGCCACGGCUAACUACGUGCCAGCAGCCGCGGUAAUACGUAGGUGGCAAGCGUGGUCCGGAAUUAUUGGGCGUAAAGCGCGCGCAGGCGGGAUAUCAAGUCUGUCUUAAAAGUGCGAGGCUCAACCUCGUGAGGGGACAGCAACUGGUAUUCUUGAGUGUCGGAGAGGAAAGUGGAAUUCCAAGUGUAGCGGUGAAAUGCGUAGAGAUUUGGAAGAACACCAGUGGCGAAGGCGACUUUCUGGACGAUGUCUGACGCUGAGGCGCGAAAGCUAGGGGAGCGAACGGGAUUAGAAACCCCUGUAGUCC
rnacentral:rRNA from 1 species